rnacentral:lncRNA from 1 species
GAUGGGGGAUGGGAGGUGGGGGGAUCUAAGCUUUGUCUUAUGAAUGCCUGAUGUAUGAUAUGGUGGACUUUAACGCUGCUUAGAAAACCAAAUGGAUCCUGUUCCGAUGAACGCCAACGCUGGAUAAUUACAGGCUUUCGUUUUGGGUGCAAGAUGAUCGUGUGAUGGUGAGAUCGAACAGAUAAUUGCUUAUUUCGAAAAGAAGGUGGGGGUUGUGGAGGAUAGCUUCCAAGGAAAAUGGAAGGAUUGAAUAAAGGUAACAGCUUAUAUUGUGAAAUCGCCGUAUCUAAUUUUCAAAGGUAAGUUUUAUUAAAUCAUAACGAUGAUU